rnacentral:rRNA from 1 species
GUGGGGAAUAUUGGACAAUGGGCGAAAGCCUGAUCCAGCCAUGCCGCGUGUGUGAAGAAGGUCUUCGGAUUGUAAAGCACUUUAAGUUGGGAGGAAGGGCAGUAAGUUAAUACCUUGCUGUUUUGACGUUACCGACAGAAUAAGCACCGGCUAACUUCGUGCCAGCAGCCGCGGUAAUACGAAGGGUGCAAGCGUUAAUCGGAAUUACUGGGCGUAAAGCGCGCGUAGGUGGUUUUGUAAGUUGGAGGUGAAAUCCCCGGGCUCAACCUGGGAACUGCCUCAAAAACUGCAUUACUAGAGUACGGUAGAGGGUAGUGGAAUUUCCUGUGUAGCGGUGAAAUGCGUAGAUAUAGGAAGGAACACCAGUGGCGAAGGCGACUACCUGGACUGAUACUGACACUGAGGUGCGAAAGCGUGGGGAGCAAACAGGAUUAGAAACCCGAGUAGUCC